rnacentral:piRNA from 1 species
UUGAUAAAUGCGAGAGGGUAAGAUGCUUCAGAGAGGUGUGAUAUGAUGCGAUUUCUUUCAAUAAUUCUAAAAAUGUCUAGGGAAUAGUGGGGGUCGAUUCUUUUGGCGAGGGUUUUUAUAAUAUUGAUUUUAUGAGAGAUAGGGCAGUGUGAAUUAAAAUGAGUGUAACUGGGGGGCAAUGUUUUUAAUAAUAAACUGUAGUGUGGUAUAUGGAUGAGGUACGGAUAAUUAAUAUAUCCAGGAAAGGAAUAACAUGGUUGGAUUCUGUCUCUAGGGUAAAGGAAAUGUUAUGGUUAAAACUAUUAAGUGUUGACAAAAUGGUGCUUUCCUGACCUUUCUUGCAUAUGCAGAAAACAUCGUCUAUGUAUCAGUGCCACAACUGAAUAUCUGAGGGGAGGGUAUGGGUGAUCCAGUGAUCUACUUGUAAACAUAACUAUUUCGGCUACUAUGGAGGAUAGAAGGCUGCCCAUCGGGGAGCCCUUGAUCUGUCUGAAGUGGUCCUGUAAGAAGGUAAACGUGUUCAUAUUUAAACAGAUUUUUAUAAGUUGAAUUAUAGGUGAGGAUGUGUGGGAAUCAAUGUUCUGCGAGUUAAGAAACUGUGUUAAACUGUCUAUGAUAAGUUCGUGGGGAAGACUGAGGUAAAAGGAGGUAACAUCGAAAGAGCACAUAGUGACAGAAGGAUCGGGGCUAAAAGCAGUUAACUCACUGAUGAAGUGGAGGGUGCUGUUAAUAGAAUAAAUAUUACUAUAGCUGAUUAAUAACGGGGAUAGGUAACUGGAUAGAAAUUUGGCCAAUGGAAAUGCUGGCGAUAAAUGGUAAGCUAUAAUAGGGCGGAGAGGUAUCUCAGGUUUAUGUAUUUUAGGGAGGCCGUAUAUAUAUAUGCUGAGUUGUGAAGGUUGGAUAUGAAGAGGUUAUAAUCGUUAGGAGGGAUAUGUUUGGACUUCUUUAAAUGGAGCAGCGAGUUUUUAAAUGCUUUGACUAUAGAGAGGCUGGCCUGAUUUGUGAUAAGGGAGAAGGUGGAGUUAUCACGGAGUAGAUCAUACAUUUUUGUGAGAUAACUGUCCUGGUUAAUGAUAACGGUGUUAGAACCUUUGUCUGACCGUGUGAUGACUAUGGAUUUGCAGCGUUUAAGUUUCUGAAGUGUAAUGAGGUUUGCGCGGUAAUUAGGGGGAGGCUUUGAUGGUCGAUUCUAUGGAGCUGAUGACUUCUGGCGGGUUAGGCUUGGUGGGAAUACGGAAUUUGAGGCAUUUCUCUAAAAGAGUUAUGUCAGAUGGAGACAGUGUGUGACUCGAUAGAUCGAAGUAGCAAUUGUUUCGGUAUACUGUCUGAUUCUUGGAGAGGAAUUGGUUGUAGGCGUGCUUCAGAAUGAAUUGUAGUGGAAAUCCGGACUUUUGCAGGUUGUGAAUGAUAUUUAAUUUUUCUAUUCUUUUGAAACCAGGUAGAGAGCAAUGUGUGAUAAUUCUUUUGGUUAGCGUCUUAACUGUUGAUAUUUUAUGACCUAUUGGACCAAAUGAAUUGAAACUAAGAUAUGAUGGUGCUAAUCCUCUUUUGUAAUACACUAUAGAAUGGAAUUUAUUUUCAGUUCUAAGGAUAAGAAUAUAUAGAUAUGGUAGUGCUGCUUCAGUUUCUGUCUCCAAUGUGAAUUUAAUCUGGGGGUGGUAACUGUUUAAGGUGCUUAAAAUGAGUUGUUCUUUGUCUUGUUCAUUUUCACAAAAGAUAUUAUCGAUGUAGUGGUACCAUUUCUAUAUGCCCAGUUCCUUAAAUCUAUUGCUCCAUUUGUCCAGUUUCAACAUGACUAUUUCGGCAGGUAUUAAUGAUAACGGGCUCCCCAUGGGUGAACCACAAAUCUGUUGGUAUAUUUCAUCUUCAAAUUAAAAAUUCACAAUUGAGAGACAGAGCUGGAAUAAAGUAAUGAUUCUGUUGAUUUCUAUGGUGACAGUCGAAUUUUGAUUCAGUAUGUCUUUCAUAUUGGCUAUUAUUAAAUGGUGGGGGAGGCUAAGAAAUAAUGAUACUACAUCAAAGGAACCGAUUAUACAUCCUGGUGUAGGUUUUAAAUUUCUUAAAUCAAUUAUGAAAUCAGGUAUGUUACUAAUGGAAUGGAGGUUUGCAGAACAAAUCACAGGAGUUAGGUAUGAGGUCAGGAACCUGGACAGUGGUUCCUUUUUUUGAUAUCAGUAUUUAUUGUUUCUAUUGCUGUGAUUACAUUUUCAUACUCUUCAUUCAAUGACAAUAACAGAUGACAUAUUUUGUCAGAUUCAUCAAUUUUGGAACCUAUAUUAUCCAAUUCAUGAAUUAUAGAAUCAAAUUUAAGAAAAUCGUCCUCUAAUUUUUCAUAAUGUUUGCAUUUUAAGGUCAACAACUUUCUUUUUAGUGUUAGUUUUGUGAACACGCUUUUUCUUUCAAAUAUAUUUUUGAGCGCUUUCAUCAUUUCUUUAGCUGUUUUUGCAUCUUUAAUUGUCUAUAUGUUUAUCAGUUAAACAUUGAACAAGCGUAGAUUUUGCCUUUGCAUCCUUAAUUGCAAAUAACUCAUGUUCUUUUUCAUCGACAAAAUCAUUAAUUUCCUUUUCUAAUGUUAGAUGUAUUUGUUUUUCUUCUAACAAUAGUUCCAGCUGUUGAAAUUUGUACCAGUCAAAAUUGGCAAAUUAGAAUUAUUUACGCUCAUUUUAAAAUAUAUUUAAAGUUACUUACUAAAUACGUUCUUGAUUUUUCUUUUUUAAACUUCAGUCUCAUAAUCUGUUGGGGAUGCUUUUGAGCAGUUCCUUUAGUUGCUGCCGAGUUUUGGGUCCGCCUCUAGAGGGAAUAGAGACCUGGGUCCCAUCUUCUUUCCCUGAGAUGGCCUCAAUUUGCACGGAUUUAGUUUUCUCGUGCUGAGGGGCUGACUUUUGUGUAACCACAAGUAAGGGAGUGGAUGCAAUAGUGCUUGAGGUUACCGCAGGAGCAGUAGCCACAGUUGAAGAUGCAGGAAAGGUGGGGGUUGGCUGUCCAGUGGGCGCGGUGACAGGUGGGGCUAUGUUGGAGGGCGCCUGCCCAGAGACUUCUGCAGGCAUCUUCAGGGGGCAGUUUGCUCUAUGGUGUCUCUGCCUCUGGCACUGUGAGCAAUUAACACUAUAGGAGAGGAAUGCUGGGAGGGUCUCCCCCAUGGACUUGAUGUCGAGACGUAGUGGCAGUCUUUCCAGCUGUCCAUAAAUGUGAAUCCUCCCAUGGUGAGGAAUACUGGGCGAUGGAGGUAAUCUGCCCAUAAGGCCUUAGGGCAGCCAUGACUUCUGCAUCUUCCACAAGGAGGGGCAGGUUGCUAAUGAUGAUCUUUUCCGCCUUUUUGCGAAAGGGGAAGACCUUAAAGCGGGUCUCCUCAAUUUCCAGGCCAACUUCGAUGAGUCGGUCAGUUUGGGCCUUGGUGGAGAAGCCAACGAGGACAUGUCCGUUCAUUCUUGCCAGCUGUAGGAUGUUUGUACCUCCUAUCAGCUUGUCCAAUGCCUUCAGGUAUUGUAGCGGGCCGAAGUCGGGGCAAUGUUCCAGAUAAACGUACUGUUCUCAGGUGAUCGUGGACUGCUGGGCACUGGAUUGCGUGAUUCUCUGUCUCUGGCUUUGAUCUGCUGUGCAAGCGGUGGACGCUUCACAGGAGACUUGUCAAGAGGGGCAGGUUGCUAAUGAUGAUCUUUUCCGCCUUUUUGCGAAAGGGGAAGUCCUUAAAGCGGACUCCUUAAUUUCAAGGCCAUCUUCGAUGAGUCGGUCAGUGUGGGCCUUGGUGGAGAGGCCAACGAGGACAUGUCCAUUCAUUCUUGCCAGCUGUAAGAUGUUGGUACCUCCUAUCAGCUUGUCCAAUGCCUUCCGGUAUUGUAGCGGGCCGAAGUCGGGGCAAUGUUCCAGAUAAACGUACUGUUCUCAGGUGAUCGUGGACUGCUGGGCCCUGGAUUGCGCGCUUAUCUGGCUUUGAUCUGCUGUGCAAGCGGUGGACGCUUCGCAGGAGGCUUGUCAAGAGGGGCAGGUUGCUAAUGAUGAUCUUUACCGCCCUUUUGUGAAAGGGGAAGGCCUUAAAGAGGGUCUUCUUAAUUUCCAGGCCAUCUUCGAUGAGUCUGUCAGCGUGGGGCUUGAUGGAGAGAGGCCAACGAGGACAUGUCCGUUCAUUCUUGCCAGCUGUAGGAUGUUGAUACCUCCUAUCAGCUUGUCCAAUGCCUUCCGGUAUUGUAGCGGGCCGAAGUCGGGGCAAUGUUCCAGAUAAACGUAGUUCUCAGGUGAUCGUGGACUGCUGGGCCCUGGAUUGCACGCUUCUCUGGUUUUGAUCUGCUGUGCAAGCGGUGGACGCUUCGCAGGAGGCUUGUCAAGAGGGGCAGGUUGCUGAUGAUGAUCUUUUCCGGCCUUUUGUGAAAGGGGAAGGCCUUAAAGAGGGUCUUCUUAAUUUCCAGGCCAUCUUCGAUUAGUCUGUCAGCGUGGGCCUUGGUGGAGAGAGGCCAACGAGGACAUGUCCGUUCAUUCUUGCCAGCUGUAGGAUGUUGGUACCUCCUAUCAGCUUGUCCAAUGCCUUCAGGUAUUGUAGCGGGCCGAAGUCGGGGCAAUGUUCCAGAUAAACGUAGUUCUCAGGUGAUCGUGGACUGCUGGGCCCUGGAUUGCACGCUUCUCUGGCUUUGAUCUGCUGUGCAAGCGGUGGACGCUUCGCAGGAGGCUUGUCAAGAGGGGCAGGUUGCUGAUGAUGAUCUUUUCCGCCCUUUUGUGAAAGGGGAAGGCCUUAAAGAGGGUCUUCUUAAUUUCCAGGCCAUCUUCGAUGAGUCUGUCAGCGUGGGCCUUGGUGGAGAGAGGCCAACGAGGACAUGUCCGUUCAUUCUUGCCAGCUGUAGGAUGUUGGUACCUCCUAUCAGCUUGUCCAAUGCCUUCAGGUAUUGUAGCGGGCCGAAGUCGGGGCAAUGUUCCAGAUAAACUUAGUUCUCAGGUGAUCGUGGACUGCUGGGCCCUGGAUUGCACGCUUCUCUGGCUUUGAUCUGCUGUGCAAGCGGUGGACGCUUCGCAGGAGGCUUGUCAAGAGGGGCAGGUUGCUGAUGAUCUUUUCCGCCCUUUUGUGAAAGGGGAUGGCCUUAAAGAGGGUCUUCUUAAUUUCCAGGCCAUCUUCGAUGAGUCUGUCAGCGUGGGCCUUGGUGGAGAGAGGCCAACGAGGACAUGUCCGUUCAUUCUUGCCAGCUGUAGGAUGUUGGUACCUCCUAUCAGCUUGUCCAAUGCCUUCAGGUAUUGUAGCUGGCCGAAGUCGGGGCAAUGUUCUAGAUAAACGUAGUUCUCAGGUGAUCGUGGACUGCUGGGCCCUGGAUUGCACGCUUCUCUGGCUUUGAUCUGCUGUGCAAGCGGUGAACGCUUCGCAGGAGGCUUGUCAAGAGGGGCAGAUUGCUGAUGAUGAUCUUUUCCGCCCUUUUGUGAAAGGGGAAGGCCUUAAAGAGGGUCUUCUUAACUUCCAGGCCAUCUUCGAUGAGUCUGUCAGCGUGGGGCUUGUUGGAGAGAGGCCAACGAGGACAUGUCCGUUCAUUCUUGCCAGCUGUAGGAUGUUGAUACCUCCUAUCAGCUUGUCCAAUGCCUUCCGGUAUUGUAGCGGGCCGAAGUCGGGGCAAUGUUCCAGAUAAACGUAGUUCUCAGGUGAUCGUGGACUGCUGGGCCCUGGAUUGCACGCUUCUCUGGCUUUGAUCUGCUGUGCAAGCGGUGGACGCUUCGCAGGAGGCUUGUCAAGAGGGGCAGGUUGCUGAUGAUGAUCUUUUCCGCCCUUUUGUGAAAGGGGAAGGCCUUAAAGAGGGUCUUCUUAACUUCCAGGCCAUCUUCGAUGAGUCUGUCAGCGUGGGGCUUGGUGGAGAGAGGCCAACGAGGACAUGUCCGUUCAUUCUUGCCAGCUGUAGGAUGUUGGUACCUCCUAUCAGCUUGUCCAAUGCCUUCAGGUAUUGUAGCGGGCCGAAGUCGGGGCAAUGUUCCAGAUAAACGUAGUUCUCAGGUGAUCGUGGACUGCUGGGCCCUGGAUUGCACGCUUCUCUGGCUUUGAUCUGCUGUGCAAGCGGUGGACGCUUCGCAGGAGGCUUGUCAAGAGGGGCAGGUUGCUGAUGAUGAUCUUCUCCGCCCUUUUGUGAAAGGGGAAGGCCUUAAAGAGGGUCUUCUUAAUUUCCAGGCCAUCUUCGAUGAGUCUGUCAGCGUGGGCCUUGGUGGAGAGAGGCCAACGAGGACAUGUCCGUUCAUUCUUGCCAGCUGUAGGAUGUUGGUAUCUCCUAUCAGCUUGUCCAAUGCCUUCAGGUAUUGUAGCGGGCCGAAGUCGGGGCAAUGUUCCAGAUAAACGUAGUUCUCAGGUGAUCGUGGACUGCUGGGCCCUGGAUUGCACGCUUCUCUGGCUUUGAUCUGCUGUGCAAGCGGUGGACGCUUCGCAGGAGGCUUGUCAAGAGGGGCAGGUUGCUGAUGAUGAUCUUUUCCGCCCUUUUGUGAAAGGGGAAGGCCUUAAAGAGGGUCUUCUUAAUUUCCAGGCCAUCUUCGAUGAGUCUCAGCGUGGGCCUUGGUGGAGAGAGGCCAACGAGGACAUGUCCGUUCUUUCUUGCCAGCUGUAGGAUGUUGGUACCUCCUAUCAGCUUGUCCAAUGCCUUCAGGUAUUGUAGCGGGCCGAAGUCGGGGCAAUGUUCCAGAUAAACGUAGUUCUCAGGUGAUCGUGGACUGCUGGGCCCUGGAUUGCACGCUUCUCUGGCUUUGAUCUGCUGUGCAAGCGGUGGACGCUUCGCAGGAGGCUUGUCAAGAGGGGCAGGUUGCUGAUGAUGAUCUUUUCCGCCCUUUUGUGAAAGGGGAAGGCCUUAAAGAGGGUCUUCUUAAUUUCCAGGCCAUCUUCGAUGAGUCUGUCAGCGUGGGCCUUGGUGGAGAGAGGCCAACGAGGACAUGUCCGUUCAUUCUUGCCAGCUGUAGGAUGUUGGUUCCUCCUAUCAGCUUGUCCAAUGCCUUCAGGUAUUGUAGCGGGCCGAAGUCGGGGCAAUGUUCCAGAUAAACGUAGUUCUCAGGUGAUCGUGGACUGCUGGGCCCUGGAUUGCACGCUUCUCUGGCUUUGAUCUGCUGUGCAAGCGGUGGACGCUUCGCAGGAGGCUUGUCAAGAGGGGCAGGUUGCUGAUGAUGAUCUUUUCCGCCCUUUUGUGAAAGGGGAAGGCCUUAAAGAGUGUCUUCUUAAUUUCCAGGCCAUCUUCGAUGAGUCUGUCAGCGUGGGGCUUGGUGGAGAGAGGCCAACGAGGACAUGUCCGUUCAUUCUUGCCAGCUGUAGGAUGUUGGUACCUCCUAUCAGCUUGUCCAAUGCCUUCAGGUAUUGUAGCGGGCCGAAGUCGGGGCAAUGUUCCAGAUAAACGUACUGUUCUCAGGUGAUCGUGGACUGCUGGGCCCUGGAUUGUGCGCUUCUCUGGCUUUGAUCUGCUGUGCAAGCGGUGGACGCUUCACAGGAGGCUUGUCUAGAGGGGCAGGUUGCUAAUGAUGAUCUUUUCCGCCUUUUUGCGAAAGGGGAAGACCUUAAAGCGGGUCUCCUCAAUUUCCAGGCCAUCUUUGAUGAGUCGGUCAGUGUGGGCCUUGGUGGAGAGGCCAAUGAGGACAUGUCCGCUCAUUCUUGCCAGCUGUUGGAUGUUGGUACCUCCUAUCAGCUUGUUCAAUGCCUUCAGGUAUUGUAGGGUUUAAACAAUUUUAUUGAUUCUUCUAAUCAAUUUUUACAAAGGUGGAAAAAAUAUAAUAAAAUAGUAAAUAAAGGGUAUAUAAAGUGUAGGGGAAUAUAUAUAUAGUUUUGUAUGUAUACAAAUUUCUUCAGCAAGGAAGGCUUCCCCACCUUGAGUGAGUCCUCCUCCAGACAAAGAGGGGGUCAUCUUGAAUACUCCUCAGUUCCACGCCGAGGAAAUACCUAUAGAUGCGUGUCUUGGCAGACGCCAGGUUGGCCAGGGCAUCAUCGUCUAGGCCAUGCCCAAAGACAGCCCUGCAGGUCAGGGGGCCGCCCGAUUAUGGUAAAUGCCUCCCGGAUGAGAGGCCUGAUGUAGAGGCAGGACCAGUACCGGUGAACCAGCGACAGGUCGCCGGACCCACAGGCGAUGCAAGACUGUUGUGCCGAUGCUGGUUGGGGCAGGGCAUGCAGAGCUAGCCUCACUGCCAUGUCCGCGUUGUGCCCGGAGAAGGUGCAGCGCCAGAGCGACGACCAGCCGAUGUUGAUGGGUUGGUUUAUAUGUUCCUCCCACCUUCUAGCGAACUGUACGAUGGGCAGGGCAGUCAGGCAUGGGCACUCUAAGAUGCGACGGGCAGUUUGGGUGAUGACUCCCAAGAACGGCAUAGUCGUGUCGCGCAGCACUACGGCCUGGCUGAUGGUGUUUACUCUGUAGGUCCCGCGUAGAUUUUCGUCGAUAAGACGACGGCAGGUGCUGGUCAGUGACGCGGCGUAAGCCAAGGGGCAACGCAUAGGCUGAGUGAGGGGAGGGGCAGGGCCAGCGAAGUCUCCAAUGCAGGCACUGACCCACAGGGUAGGAGCGAGAAAGUCAGGUAGCCGGAGAAGGCGGCAGCCACCUAUGAUGGGGAGGUUCAGGAGUUGAUGUGGUGUAACCACAGGGUCGUCCAGCGUGAAGAUGUCAGCGACCACCUCCCAGAUCUUAAGAAGCCGGAGACACCGUGGUAAGAACCAGGACUCAGAUGGAGGUGGGUAUAGCCACACAGCGCGGCCUGCACGCCCUUGAAACACGACAGCCGCAGCUGGGUCUCGAUGUUGAUGAGGCUGAAUCCUCAAAGAGAGACGGGUCUCGCCAGGACGUUACCAGGAAACCAGGCAGUGCACUCCGGCCCCCAGAUGAAAUGCGCAAGAUCUUGUGGAUGGUAUGGUCGGUAGGCAGGUAGCCGUGGAUGUGAUGGACCAGCGAGGAGAGCACCAAGUAUUUGGCGGUGGACGCUUCGCAGGAGGCUUGUUGUACGAAGGGUUGGCACUCUUUUGAGUCAUGUUGUCGGACUGCGCCGGUGAGGAUCGCGGAUGGACCGAAGUUCUCCGCCACUUUCUGUUAACCCCGGUGAAGGGAUUAGGCGAGGCAUCUCAUCGUCCAUUUUGUUUUUAGUAUUUGCUGAUUCNNNNNNNNNNNNNNNNNNNNNNNNNNNNNNNNNNNNNNNNNNNNNNNNNNNNNNNNNNNNNNNNNNNNNNNNNNNNNNNNNNNNNNNNNNNNNNNNNNNNACCUGAGAACUACGUUUAUCUGGAACAUUGCCCCGACUUCGGCCCGCUACAAUACCGGAAUGCAUUGGACAAGCUGAUAGGAGGUACCAACAUCCUACAGCUGGCAAGAAUGAACGGACAUGUCCUCGUUGGCCUCUCUCCACCAAGCCCCACGCUGACAGACUCAUCGAAGAUGGCCUGGAAAUUAAGAAGACCCUCUUUAAGGCCUUCCCCUUUCACAAAAGGGCGGAGAAGAUCAUCAUCAGCAACCUGCCCCUCUUGACAAGCCUCCUGCGAAGCGUCCACCGCUUGCACAGCAGAUCAAAGCCAGAGAAGCGCGCAAUCCAGGGCCCAGCAGUCCACGAUCACCUGAGAACAGUACGUUUAUCUGGAACAUUGCCCCGACUUCGGCCCGCUACAAUACCGGAAGGCAUUGGACAAGCUGAUAGGAGGUACCAACAUCCUACAGCUGGCAAGAAUGAACGGACAUGUCCUCGUUGGCCUCUCUCCACCAAGCCCCACGCUGACAGACUCAUCGAAGAUGGCCUUGAAAUUAAGGAGACCCGCUUUAAGGUCUUCCCCUUUCGCAAAAAGGCGGAAAAGAUCAUCAUUAGCAACCUGCACCUCUUGACAAGUCUCCUGUGAAGCGUCCACCGCUUGCACAGCAGAUCAAAGCCAGAGAAGCGUGCAAUCCAGGGCCCCAGCAGUCCACGAUCACCUGAGAACUACGUUUAUCUGGAACAUUGCCCCGACUUCGGCCCCGCUACAAUACCGGAAGGCAUUGGAGAAGCUGAUAGGAGGUACCAACAUCCUAGAUCUGGCAAGAAUGAACGGACAUGUCCUCGUUGGCCUCUCUCCACCAAGCCCCACGCUGACAGACUCAUCGAAGAUGGCCUGGAAAUUAAGAAGACCCUCUUUAAGGCCUUCCCCUUUCACAAAAGGGCGGAGAAGAUCAUCAUCAGCAACCUGCCCCUCUUGACAAGCCUCCUGCGAAGCGUCCACCGCUUGCACAGCAGAUCAAAGCCAGAGAAGCGCGUAAUCCUGGGCCCAGCAGUCCACGAUCACCUGAGAACCGUACGUUUAUCUGGAACAUUGCCCCGACUUAGGCCCGCUACAAUACCGGAAGGCAUUGGACAAGCUGAUAGGAGGUACCAACAUCCUACAGCUGGCAAGAAUGAACGGACAUGUCCUCGUUGGCCUCUCUCCACCAAGGUCCACGCUGACAGACUCAUCGAAGAUGGCCUGGAAAUUAAGAAGACCCUCUUUAAGGCCUUCCCCUUUCACAAAAGGGCGGAAAAGAUCAUCAUCAGCAACCUGCCCCUCUUGACAAGCCUCCUGCGAAGCGUCCACCGCUUGCACAGCAGAUCAAAGCCAGAGAAGCGCGCAAUCCAGGGCCCAGCAGUCCACGAUCACCUGAGAACAGUACGUUUAUCAGGAACAUUGCCCCGACUUCGGCCCGCUACAAUACCGGAAGGCAUUGGACAAGCUGAUAGGAGGUACCAACAUCUUACAGCUGGCAAGAAUGAAUGGACAUGUCCUCGUUGGCCUCUCCACCAAGGCCCACGCUGACAGACUCAUCGAAGAUGGCCUGGAAAUUAAGAAGACCCUCUUUAAGGCCUUCCCCUUUCACAAAAGGGCGGAAAAGAUCAUCAUCAGCAACCUGCCCCUCUUGACAAGCCUCCUGCGAAGCGUCCACCCCUUGCACAGCAGAUCAAAGCCAGAGAAGCGUGCAAUCCAGGGCCCAGCAGUCCACGAUCACCUGAGAACUACGUUUAUCUGGAACAUUGCCCCGACUUCGGCCCGCUACAAUACCGGAAGGCAUUGGACAAGCUGAUAGGAGGUACCAACAUCCUACAGCUGGCAAGAAUGAACGGACAUGUCCUCGUUGGCCUCUCUCCACCAAGCCCCACGCUGACAGACUCAUCGAAGAUGGCCUGGAAAUUAAGAAGACCCUCUUUAAGGCCUUCCCCUUUCACAAAAGGGCGGAGAAGAUCAUCAUCAGCAACCUGCCCCUCUUGACAAGCCUCCUGCGAAGCGUCCACCGCUUGCACAGCAGAUCAAAGCCAGAGAAGCGCGCAAUCCAGGGCCCAGCAGUCCACGAUCACCUGAGAACAGUACGUUUAUCUGGAACAUUGCCCCGACUUCGGCCCGCUACAAUACCGGAAGGCAUUGGACAAGCUGAUAGGAGGUACCAACAUCCUACAGCUGGCAAGAAUGAACGGACAUGUCCUCGUUGGCCUCUCUCCACCAAGGUCCACGCUGACAGACUCAUCGAAGAUGGCCUGGAAAUUAAGAAGACCCUCUUUAAGGCCUUCCCCUUUCACAAAAGGGCGGAAAAGAUCAUCAUCAGCAACCUGCCCCUCUUGACAAGCCUCCUGCGAAGCGUCCACCGCUUGCACAGCAGAUCAAAGCCAGAGAAGCGUGCAAUCCAGGGCCCAGCAGUCCACGAUCACCGGAGAACUACGUUUAUCUGGAACAUUGCCCCGACUUCGGCCCGCUACAAUACCGGAAGGCUUUGGACAAGCUGAUAGGAGGUACCAACAUCCUAAAGCUGGCAAGAAUGAACGGAAAUGUCCUCGUUGGCCUCUCUUCACCAAGCCCCACGCUGACAGACUCAUCGAAGAUGGCCUGGAAAUUAAGAAGACCCUCUUUAAGGCCUUCCCCUUUCACAAAAGGGCGGAGAAGAUCAUCAUCAGCAACCUGCCCCUCUUGACAAGCCUCCUGCGAAGCGUCCACCGCUUGCACAGCAGAUCAAAGCCAGAGAAGCGCGCAAUCCAGGGCCCAGCAGUCCACGAUCACCUGAGAACAGUACGUUUAUCUGGAACAUUGCCCCGACUUCGGCCCGCUACAAUACCGGAAGGCAUUGGACAAGCUGAUAGGAGGUACCAACAUCCUACAGCUGGCAAGAAUGAACGGACAUGUCCUCGUUGGCCUCUCUCCACCAAGGUCCACGCUGACAGACUCAUCGAAGAUGGCCUGGAAAUUAAGAAGACCCUCUUUAAGGCCUUCCCCUUUCACAAAAGGGCGGAAAAGAUCAUCAGCAACCUGCCCCUCUUGACAAGCCUCCUGCGAAGCGUCCACCGCUUGCACAGCAGAUCAAAGCCAGAGAAGCGCGCAAUCCAGGGCCCAGCAGGCCACGAUCACCUGAGAACAGUACGUUUAUCUGGAACAUUGCCCCGACUUCGGCCCGCUACAAUACCGGAAGGCAUUGGACAAGCUGAUAGGAGGUACCAACAUCUUACAGCUGGCAAGAAUGAAUGGACAUGUCCUCGUUGGCCUCUCCACCAAGGCCCACAUUGACCGACUCAUCGAAGAUGGCCUUGAAAUUAAGGAGACCCGCUUUUAGGUCUUCCCCUUUCGCAAAAAGGUGGAAAAGAUCAUCAUUAGCAACCUGCCCCUCUUGACAAGUCUCCUGUGAAGCGUCCACCGCUUGCACAGCAGAUCAAAGCCAGAGAAGCGUGCAAUCCAGGGCCCAGCAGUCCACGAUCACCUGAGAACUACGUUUAUCUGGAACAUUGCCCCGACUUCGGCCCGCUACAAUACCGGAAGGCAUUGGACAAGCUGAUAUGAGGUACCAACAUCCUACAGCUGGCAAGAAUGAACGGACAUGUCCUCGUUGGCUUCUCCACCAAGGCCCAAACUGACCGACUCAUCGAAGUUGGCCUGGAAAUUGAGGAGACCCGCUUUAAGGUCUUCCCCUUUCGCAAAAAGACGGAAAAGAUCAUCAUUAGCAACCUGCCCCUCCUUGUGGAAGAUGCAGAAGUCAUGGCUGCCCUAAGGCCUUAUGGGCAGAUUACCUCUAUCGCCCAGUAUUCCUCACCAUGGGAGGAUUCACAUUUAUGGACAGCUGGAAAGACUGCCACUACGUCUCGACAUCAAAUCCAUGGGGGAGACCCUCCCAGCAUUCCUCUCCUAUAGUGUUAAUUGCUCAAAGUGCCAGAGACACCAUAGAGCCAACUGCCCCCUGAAGAUGCCUGCAGAAGUCUCCGGGCAGGCGCCCUCCAACAUAGCCCCACCUGUUACCGCGCCCACUGGACAGCCAACCCCCACCUUUCCUGCAUCUUCAACUGUGGCUACUGCUCCUGCGGUAACCUCAAGCACUAUUGCAUCCACUCCCUCACUUGUGGUUACACAAAAGUCAGCCCCUCAGCACGAGAAAACUAAAUCCGAGCAAAUUGAGGCCAUCUCAGGGAAAGUAGAUGGGACCCAGGUCUCUAUUCCCUCUAGAGGCGGACCCAAAACUCGGCAGCAACUAAAGGAACUGCUCAAAAGCAUCCCCAACAGAUUAUGAGACUGAAGUUUAAAAAAUAAAAAUCAAGAACGUAUUUAGUAAGUACAACUUUAAAUGUUUUUAAAUGAGCGUAAAUAAUUCUAAUUUGCCAAUUUUGACUGGUACAAAUUUCAACAGCUGGAACUAUUGUUAGAAGAAAAACAAAUACAUCUAACAUUAGAAGAGGAAAUUAAUGAUUUUGUCGAUGAAAAAGAACAUGAGUUAUUUGCAAUUAAGGAUGCAAAGGCAAAAUCUACGCUUGUUCAAUGUUUAACUGAUAAACAUAUAGACAUAAUUAAAGAUGCAAAAACAGCUAAAGAAAUGAUGAAAGCACUCAAAAAUAUAUUUGAAAGAAAAAGAGUGUUCACAAAACUAACAAAAAAGAAAGUUGUUGACCUUAAAAUGCAAACAUUAUGAAAAAUUAGAGGACGAUUUCCUUAAAUUUGAUUCUAUAAUUCGUGAAUUGGAUAAUAUAGGUUCCAAAAUUGAUGAAUCUGACAAAAUAUGUCAUCUGUUAUUGUCAUUGAAUGAAGAGUAUGAAAAUGUAAUCACAGCAAUAGAAACAAUAAAUACUGAUAUCAAAAAAAGGAACCACUGUCCAGGUUCCUGACCUCAUACCUAACUCCUGUAAUUUGUUCUGCAAACCUCCAUUCCAUUAGUAACAUACCUGAUUUCAUAAUUGAUUUAAGAAAUUUAAAACCUACACCAGGAUGUAUAAUUGGUUCCACCAUUUAAUAAUAGCCAAUAUGAAAGACAUACUGAAUCAAAAUUCGACUGACACCAUAGAAAUCAACAGAAUCAUUACUUUAUUCCAGCUGUCUCUCAAUUGUGAAUUUUUAAUUUGAAGAUGAAAUAUACCAACAGAUUUGUGGUUCACCCAUGGGGAGCCCGUUAUCAUUAAUACCUGCCGAAAUAGUCAUGUUGAAACUGGACAAAUGGAUCAAUAGAUUUAAGGAACUGGGCAUAUAGAAAUGGUACCACUACAUCGAUAAUAUCUUUUGUGAAAAUGAACAAGACAAAGAACAACUCAUUUUAAGCACCUUAAACAGUUACCACCCCCAGAUUAAAUUCACAUUGGAGACAGAAACUGAAGCAGCACUACCAUAUCUAUAUAUUCUUAUCCUUAGAACCGAAAAUAAAUUCCAUUCUAUAGUGUAUUACAAAAGAGGAUUAGCACCAUCAUAUCUUAGUUUCAAUUCAUUUGGUCCAAUAGGUCAUAAAAUAUCAACAGUUAAGACGCUAACCAAAAGAAUUAUCACACAUUGCUCUCUACCUGGUUUCAAAAGAAUAGAAAAAUUAAAUAUCAUUCACAACCUGCAAAAGUCCGGAUUUCCACUACAAUUCAUUCUGAAGCACGCCUACAACCAAUUCCUCUCCAAGAAUCAGACAGUAUACCGAAACAAUUGCUACUUCGAUCUAUCGAGUCACACACUGUUUCCAUCUGACAUAACUCUUUUAGAGAAAGGCCUCAAAUUCCGUAUUCCCACCAAGCCUAACCCGCCAGAAGUCAUCAGCUCCAUAGAAUCGACCAUCAAAGCCUCCCCCUAAUUACCGCGCAAACCUCAUUACACUUCAGAAACUUAAACGCUGUAAAUCCAUAGUCAUCACACGGUCAGACAAAGGUUCUAACACCGUUAUCAUUAACCAGGACAGUUAUCUCACAAAAAUGUAUGAUCUACUCCGUGAUAACUCCACCUUCUCCCUUAUCACAAAUCAGGCCAGCCUCUCUAUAGUCAAAGCAUUUAAAAACUCGCUGCUCCAUUUAAAGUCCAAACAUAUCCCUCCUAACGAUUAUAACCUCUUCAUAGCCAACCUUCACAACUCAGCAUAUAUAAAUACGGCCUCCCUAAAAUACACAAACCUGAGAUACCUCUCCGCCCUUUUAUAGCUUACCAUUUAUCGCCCGCAUUUCCAUUGGCCAAAUUUCUAUCCAGUUACCUAUCCCCGUUAUUAAUCAGCUAUAGUAAUAUUUAUUCUAUUAACAGCACCCUCCACUUCAUCAGUGAGUUAACUGCUUUUAGCCCCGAUCCUUCUGUCACUAUGUGCUCUUUCGAUGUUACCUCCUUUUACCUCAGUCUUCCCCACGAACUUAUCAUAGACAGUUUAACACAGUUUCUUAACUCGCAGAACAUUGAUUCCCACACAUCCUCACCUAUAAUUCAACUUAUAAAAAUUUGUUUAAAUAUGAACACGUUUACCUUCUUACAGGACCACUUCAGACAGAUCAAGGGCUCCCCGAUGGGCAGCCCUCUAUCCUCCAUAGUAGCCGAAAUAGUUAUGUUUACAAGUAGAUCACUGGAUCACCCGUACCCUCCCCUCAGAUAUUCAGUAGUGGCACCGAUACAUAGACGAUGUUUUCUGCAUAUGCAAGAAAGGUCAGGAAAGCA